AUUUAAAUCAAAACUGCUUAACAGAAACUCCGGGCAUUCGGAUAUCGCUCCUUCAGCUAUGGUGCUCCACAGUUGUGGAAUCAACUCCC